rnacentral:rRNA from 1 species
UGGGGGAUAUUGCACAAUGGGCGAAAGCCUGAUGCAGCGACGCCGCGUGGGGGAUGAAGGCUUUCGGGUUGUAAACCUCUUUCGCUAUCGAACAAGGCUCGCUUAGGGUGGGUUGAGGGUAGGUGGAGAAGAAGCGCCGGCUAACUACGUGCCAGCAGCCGCGGUAAUACGUAGGGCGCGAGCGUUGUCCGGAAUUAUUGGGCGUAAAGGGCUUGUAGGCGGCUUGUUGCGCCUGCUGUGAAAACGCGGGGCUUAACUUCGCGCGUGCAGUGGGUACGGGCAGGCUUGAGUGUGGAAGGGGUGACUGGAAUUCCAGGUGUAGCGGUGGAAUGCGCAGAUAUCUGGAGGAACACCGAUGGCGAAGGAAGGUCACUGGGCCAUUACUGACGCUGAGGAGCGAAAGCAUGGGUAGCGAACAGG